UGUGUACUCCCUCCGUUCCAAAAUACUUGACUUCCAUUUGUCCAAAAAUGGAUGUACCUAUAUACUAAAACAUGUCUAGAUACAUAUAUAUUUUGACAAAUAGAAGGCUUGUAUUCUGCAACGGGGGGAGUAGAAU
rfam:Triticum aestivum genome assembly, contig: Triticum_aestivum_CS42_TGACv1_scaffold_332049_4BS